rnacentral:lncRNA from 1 species
CCAAGCUUUCAUUAUUUUUGCAUGCUCUUGAUGUACACCCUCAGCAGUCAGUGUCUAUUUUGGGCAGGUAUUUUUCUUCUCAGCAGCACCAGCAGCAUAAGAGUAAAUAAUAGUGCUCCACUGCCUCUGUGACGCCUCCCCUGUUAUCAAGCUUCAGUGACGAGGUUAAAAACAUGAAACUGGAUUAUACAAACCAGACGUGGAGGUGUGAUGACUUGUCAGACUAGAGAGGAAAAUUUGUGAACAUGUGUCAAGUGCCCACCAGUGAUGAAGCUCCAGCCCUGUAUUUAAUAUGACAGAAAUUAAACUCGUGCAUAUGUUCACUUUAGCAGUUAUUGCUGUGCAUGGAUGCAUUUUAAGGCAUUCAGGAACAUGAGGGGAUCUGUUUAUCAGAGUUUGCAAGAGAGAGACAGAAAGUAAUGAAUGUAGUUAGAUGGAGGUGGCAGAGGAGAGUGAUGGAUCGCCUGUGAGCUGCAGGCUGGGUCCCCGGGGAGGGACGCUGCUGCAUCCUACCAUAGAAGGACAACUUAGAGUAAUUGGGUCACUGGCACUGGGAGGGGAGUCUCCACCAAGCUAUUCUUUAAGGGAGAAAGACAUAGAAGGCUGUGGAGAGGCUGGCAUGUGGCAGGAGGAGGUGGAAGGGAUGGAUCCUCAGUCCAGAGUAAGAGCCUCCCCCCGAGGAAGCCACCAUCAGACGCAAGGCCUCACAGGCCGUUGACCCGCUGUCUCUGUGAUUUAUGGCGGCAAGGGGCCCCUGGCCACUGCAGACUCCUCUCCCUUCUCUCCUCUGUUUCUCGACACACACGCUGCAGGACUGGGAGGAGACGCACACACUGCGCCAUCGUCAAUGGGAGCAUCCUGAGAGGGAUUCCGCGCGUAUGCUGAACUGCAGUCCCGGCAUCUCCACAUUCUACUCUGACUCAUCCAAAAAUAAACGUCUCCAUAAACGUUCCCACACCCCCACACCCUGUCCCACCACCCCAUCACAAGUGCAUUAAAGCAAGCUUGCUUUUAGAGCAUUCUCCAUUUGACUGUGUGGAUUACAAUCAGUCAUGGUGUGUCGAGUGUAGAGCUCUCGUGUAGCUGCUGCUGAGAGGCAGAGCUCGAUCAAUGGAAGUGUGCUAAGUGAUGAGAUGAUGCUCCUUUUUUCACAUGGCCUGAAAGAAAUCAGCAGCCAGCAUCUGCACGCACAUGGCUUUGCCUCUACUACACGUUAGUCCUCCUCUCUGAGCGAUAAGGCCUCUGACUACAGAUGUUAUUUUGAUUUUGGAUGGACAGUCGUACCCUUAAAAACUCUCAAACAACUUUUUCUUGUACUGUACCUGGAAAUUUUGAAAUACACAAUUUCUACUCGGUUUUUGGUGUUAUUUCAAGCUGUGACCUAAGAGUGAG